GCUCCUGUGGUGAAAUUGGCAGACACGCCAGACUUAGGAUCUGGUGGAGUGAUCCGUGUCGGUUCGAGUCCGACCUGGAGUA
rnacentral:tRNA from 1 species